rnacentral:ncRNA from 2 species
CGGCUUGUUUCGGGGUGCCCUUCUUCUGCUCAACUCCUGAUCGCCUCAGCAGUCUUGAGCAGAGUCCGGCUGAGAUUAUACCCGUAAAACUUGAUCAGGUUAAUACCUGCGGAAGGAGAACAAGCCCUGGAUCU